UUUGUUGACUGACAUAACCAAGUGUUGCAUACAUUAUUGAUCUUGAAUCUGAACUUUGAUUUAAUGUACCGGUAUAUGAAGAAAACAAAAAUGUUUAUGUAUAGUUUUGGACCAAAUUAUAUGGAAAAGAAAAUGAUAUUUACAAAAAUUAUUUUGACUACCAGCAGUGUCAUUUUAACAUGAUAUUUAAAGCAGGUGGUAUUGGAUAUGAAGUAGAUUUGAGUGCUAAUACUUUUUGACUUACAAGUCGAGUUUUUGGUUAGAGGUAAAUCAUCAUUUGUAGACUUAUUAUUCUUGCAUCAUUGUAUUUUUUGAAAGGAAAGUGUGCCAUAUCACAUUGUUAAUGUUAUUCACCCUUUAAAUGGCUUUAAUCGCUGACGGGAAAAACUACAGCAACAUGCCUAAAUCUGUGCUUUUACUGUAAUCCUGGUGCCAAAGACAAACAAAGGUUUGAACAGCUGACAUAGGUCUAGAAACUUCUUUGUAGAUUUUACACAUUCUAUGGCUAUAAAUCUAAGUAGGACAAAAUUAUUUUGAUAAUGCAAAGUUGUUCAAAUUGACAGUAUUUAAAACCAGUUUUGUUUUAUUUUCUAUGGAAAUAACACACUAAAAAUAGCAUGAUGCUAGUUAGGAUGUCAAUUAUAUGAAAUUAGAUUUGAAAAUUUUGACUAUAUAGCUGCACAAGUCUAAAUUUGCCCUGCUGUAGGUUUCUGCUGGAAAAUGUGCUUGCUGUUUUCAUUAUGAUUGUACAUUUGUUAUCAUUAUUACUUUUAAAGAAUACUUUCAGGUCAAAGUAUUAUAUUGUUUCAAUUAUUGUAAUUUAUUUUAAAAUGCAACCAGAAUUGCAGGUCUCUUCUUGUUAACUUUUCUACCAAUAUCUUUGAUCUGUAUUUCAAAGAGUGAAUUUAUCUGCUUCAGUUGAUAUUUUACAUAAAAUGGGUGCAAUAUUGUUUUUGCAUUUCUCUAGUACAUUUACAUCUUUUCAUUGUAAUUUCUCAGCAAAACCUAGAGAGAUAAUAAAACUUCGGUGCUUUUAUGAAUUUUCAGUCUCUAUAGUUGAACUCUCUGUGCAUUAAUGUUAUCUCAAAAGAGGAAAGAGUAUAACUGUCAUGUCAAUCCUUUGUUUCUUUGUAUGUUUCUCAAGCAUGUUUAGUGGAUAAAUACUUUUAUAUAUAUUGUAAUGUGAUGCCUCUUUAUACUAAUUAUUUGCAUUGUAAUGUGUAAGUGUUAAAUGUACAAAAAGUGCAUGUGCAAUAAACAUCAAAAU
rnacentral:misc_RNA from 1 species